UCCCUGGUGGUUCAGAUGGUAAAGAACCUGCCUGCAAUGCAGGAGACCUGGGUUUGAUCCCUGGGCUGGGAA
rnacentral:tRNA from 1 species